rnacentral:rRNA from 1 species
AGCGAACGCUGGCGGCAGGCUUAACACAUGCAAGUCGAACGAAGCCUUCGGGCUUAGUGGCGGACGGGUGAGUAACACGUGGGAACGUACCUUUUGGUUCGGAACAACACAGGGAAACUUGUGCUAAUACCGAAUGUGCCCUUAGGGGGAAAGAUUUAUCGCCAUUAGAGCGGCCCGCGUUGGAUUAGGUAGUUGGUGAGGUAAAGGCUCACCAAGCCCGCGAUCCAUAGCUGGUCUGAGAGGAUGAUCAGCCACACUGGGACUGAGACACGGCCCAGACUCCUACGGGAGGCAGCAGUGGGGAAUCUUGCGCAAUGGGCGAAAGCCUGACGCAGCCAUGCCGCGUGAAUGAUGAAGGUCUUAGGAUUGUAAAAUUCUUUUACCAGGGACGAUAAUGACGGUACCUGGAGAAAAAGCUCCGGCUAACUUCGUGCCAGCAGCCGCCGUAAAAC